UACGUAGGGGGCAAGCGUUGUCCGGAUUCAUUGGGCGUAAAGAGCGUGUAGGCGGCCACGCAGGUCCGUUGUGAAAACUGGAGGCUCAACUUCCAGACGUCGACGGAAACCGCGUGGCUAGAGUCCGGAAGAGGAGAGUGGAAUUCCUGGUGUAGCGGUGAAAUGCGCAGAUAUCAGGAAGAACACCAAUGGCGAAGGCAGCUCUCUGGGACGGUACUGACGCUGAGACGCGAAAGCGUGGGGAGCGAACAGG
rnacentral:rRNA from 1 species